AGACCCGAAACCCGGUGAUCUAGCCAUGGGCAGGUUGAAGGUUGGGUAACACUAACUGGAGGACCGAACCGACUAAUGUUGAAAAAUUAGCGGAUGACCUGUGGCUGGGGGUGAAAGGCCAAUCAAACCGGGAGAUAGCUGGUUCUCCCCGAAAGCUAUUUAGGUAGCGCCUCGUGAAUUCAUCUCCGGGGGUAGAGCACUGUUUCGGCUAGGGGGCCAUCCCGGCUUACCAACCCGAUGCAAACUGCGAAUACCGGAGAAUGUUAUCACGGGAGACACACGGCGGGUGCUAACGUCCGUCGUGAAGAGGGAAACAACCCAGACCGCCAGCUAAGGUCCCAAAGUCAUGGUUAAGUGGGAAACGAUGUGGGAAGGCCCAGACAGCCAGGAUGUUGGCUUAGAAGCAGCCAUCAUUUAAAGAAAGCGUAAUAGCUCACUGGUCGAGUCGGCCUGCGCGGAAGAUGUAACGGGGCUAAACCAUGCACCGAAGCUGCGGCAGCGAACGUAUCACCCAAGACAACU
rnacentral:rRNA from 1 species